AUGAAGACCAAUUCUGCGGGCAGUCAGAAGUUGAGAUGCAGAGGGACAUUUGUUGUCUCGGCGGACAAGGAUCACACCUCAUCAAUCGGUGCGUCACCAGAAGUAAUCGCCGUGGAGCCGGACAUGAUGCCUUUUACAGGAUCCUCCAACUCUGAGGCAGAAGAACCGCCGACAGUCAUGGACGCAGGUGUCGUUCUGAAACCUUCAGAAUCAAACCUGCACAGCGAUGGCGCCUUGGUCAAGGAAACACCGAGCUCCCGUAAGCGUCAUUGGCUGGUCACUCUGGAUUCAGGUAGUAGCAAUGAUUACCAUGAAGUACCGCCGCCGGACCAAGACGGCACUUCAGGAACAGAGUCUCAGAAACCCAAGAAAGUCAGGAGAGAGGAAACGAGUGGAUCCAGUAAGAAGAAAGCUGCGCAGAGGGAGGAGUGCGUUGAUCCCUUAAAAGAUGAGAAGAAGACGAGAAGUAGCCGUAGCAACAAAAGAUUUAGAUCUGAGGAUGAAGAGUGUUCUCUCGAGGAAGCAGACGAUGGCUCGUCUCUCCGUGGAGUCGAUGGUCCCGAGAGGAACAAAGAACAAAUGGAUGUUUUACAAGCGGCUGACUCGCAGUCUUGCAGCAGUGACGAGGAUGAAGUCUAUGAACAUUUAUUUAAUUCAAAACCCAGCGAGUCAAAGUCCAAGACGCCUCAGAAGCCAAAGCGGUGCAGAAAGACUCCGAAGCUGCUUCCGCCCACAGAAAGCAGAAACCUAAGGGAAACAUUUGUUGUCUUCAGGCGGAAAACUCAAGAUAAUGUCCCUCUGAGCAACUGGAGGACGUCUGGCGUGUCGCUCAGUCACACGGUGGACACCAGUGAGGAGGCAGUUCAUCAGAAUGUGGGAGACCUGCUGGCGGAGGAACUGCCUCCAUGGCUGGACAUGGACUCUUUACUCGUCAGUCCCAGGAGGGAGACAUCAGGCCGGGCGGCAGGGGUGGAGGAGUCUGCUGGCACAACUGAAGCUUCUCCAGCAGGAAGAGUCUUAACAUCGCUGACCAACACCAUCACAACCCCAGUGAAUGAAAAUGGAGGAAGAAGCAGGAGGAGAAAAGGUGUCGUCAGCUAUAAGGAGCCGACCAUCAACAGUAAAAUGAGACGUGGAGAUAAAUUCACGGACAGCGAGUUUCUGCGUUCUCCAGUUUAUAAAGACAAGAAGAAGAAGAAGAAGCAGAAGAAGACCAAUGCAAAGUUGGACAGAUCUGUUUUGGUGGACUAAUUAUUAUUUCCCCUUUUUUUUUUACCUGGUUUAUUUUUAAAUUGUUGGAUUUAUUAAUCUUAAUAAAAACUUUAUUGAUCCGUCUUUUUUGUCAAACAUGUUUGCUGGCAACCAUCGACUAGAAACAUUGAAACUCAUCUGUUCUCAUGACGUUCCCAGUAAUGUGGCAGCUCAUGGUUUUACAGAUUGAUGGGGGGGGGGGGGUCAUAAAUGAUUCACUCCAGGUUGUUCACCUGAGAAGCUGCACACCGCUGUCACGCGGCAGCUUUCCAUAGUCAGCGUUGCACGACUGCAGACGUUUAACAUGUUGCAUCCUGUGAGCUGAAGGUUUACACAACAGAGUCGUGGUGAGUACAGAGCACAUACAGAGCACAUACAGAGCACAUACAGAGCACAUACAGAGCACAUACAGGGUACGUACAGAGCACAUACAGGGUACAUACAGAGCACAGCGUACAGAGCACAUACAGGGUACAUACAGAGCACAGCGUACAGAGCACAUACAGGGUACAUACAGAGCACAGCGUACAGAGCACAUACAGGGUACAUACAGAGCACAGCGUACAGAGCACAUACAGAGUACAGAGCACAUACAGGGUACAUACAGAGCACAGCGUACAGAGCACAUACAGGGUACAUACAGAGCACAGCGUACAGAGCACAUACAGAGUACAGAGCACAUACAGAGCACAUACAGAGUACAUACAGGGUACGUACAGAGCACAUACAGCGUACAGAGUACAUACAGAGUAUAUACAGAGCACAGCGUACAGAGUACGUACAGAGUACAUACAGAGCACGUACAGAGUACAUACAGAGCACGUACAUACAGAGCACGUACAGAGUACAUACAGAGCACAUACAGAGUACAUACAGAGUACAUACAUACAGAGUACAUACAGAGUACGUACAGAGUACGUACAGAGCACGUACAGAGUACAUACAGAGUACGUACAGAGCACGUACAGAGUACGUACAGAGCACAUACAGAGCACAUACAGAGUACAUACAGAGUAUAUACAGAGCACAGCGUACAGAGUACGUACAGAGUACAUACAGAGUACGUACAGAGUACAUACAGAGCACAUACAGAGCACAUACAGAGUACAUACAGAGUAUAUACAGAGCACAGCGUACAGAGUACGUACAGAGUACAUACAGAGUACAUACAGAGUACGUACAGAGCACGUACAGAGUACAUACAGAGCACAUACAGAGUACAUACAGAGCACAGCGUGUCGAGUAAAAUAUGCAACUUACUGUUUAUUUCUUUGUUCUGCACAUUAACAGAUGAACGGAUGAAUUCUCUUGUAUUUGUUGCUCUCGGCUGGUUCAGUUACAGAAUGUGUCUUUAAACUACACUUACUGGACCGUUGUGAGUUUGCAUGUGUCGGUCGCUCUGUGGGUCCAACAAGGUGUCGGGUUCAUGUCCCGACUGUCGCAGCCGGAAUGAACCCUUUAAUGUAACGUUGGUGUUAUUCUAGUUUGUAGCGUCCCAAAUGUAAUCAUUUCAACAACAUGCAAUAAAGAUGAAGCUGAUUGGAAAUGUAAUAAAAACAUAAACCUGACUCCUGACUGAUGUUGUAAUAUCUUGUGACAUUCAAUA
rnacentral:lncRNA from 1 species